CGGGAUACCCCAAUGCGUUAUGUCCAGGUGUGAAGGUUAAAUCAAUCUCACCUGAAUAUUUAUGCAUUGGGGGUUUAUCAAACGAUGCAACAAAAUAUGGAACAUGCGGUGACUUUGCAGGAUGGGGAGGAAAAUCAAAUGACAUCAUCGCACAGUCGUCUGCAAACGGAUCCGCUCAUUCAAAAAAUGAUAUUUCGUCUUCCAUCCUCAUAUUUUAUCGUUAGUGUAUUAGCAUGUCUCUAAAAUACACCUUUGUCAUUUAAAAUCCAUUCUACGCGGGAAAAUAAAAAGGAACAUAAACACACAGCCUUCAAAUAUACGAGAUUUAAAAGGUGAACACAAGGCUAAAUAUUUGCAUUCGAUUGUAGAUUUUAUUGCGAAAAUAUCAAACCCUUCAGACUUUAAAAUUUUAUUUACAUCAUCAAAAAAGAAAAAAUAUUUAAACAACGAGAUUACCGACAAGCAACAAGCGAUUUACCAAAAAAUUAUGAAAUGCAAUGUUAUGUUCAUGUGACUACAUCUUCCUCGAGACUUGGUGUUAAAAUUGUUUGUCUAUUAUACCACUUUUUACGUUUCCGAGAAGGAUGAAUUUUUGUUAAUGACCAAGAUUAUUGAUUGUGUAUAAAUCAUAACUUGCUCUUUUUUGCUAUCGUUAGAUUACUUUUGUAUAUCGAACACGCUUGUUGUAACGCAAAAAACACAUGUUAUACGUUGAUCUGAUAAUAAUUUGAAAUUUUUUUCCGACUGCCUUUGGUACUUCGGAGUUGCUAGAACUUUUUUUUCUAUGCUCUGUUUUAUACGGAAUUUUAAUAUUCGCACUAGAAUUCUCUUUUUUCGUUUUCUUCAAAAUUUACUGCGAUUGGAGGCUUGCGCCAGAAGAGGUUUUGUAUUUUUCUCUUGUAAUGUAUCAGUUCUUAUUUCAACGAGUUUUUUAUUUGUAUUUUCCGAACGAGUGCAACUUUAUCGCUUUAUCGAUGGAUAUACAAUUCCAUUUAACAAAAGCAUCCCAUGAAACAUUUAAACAUAUAUAUUUAUAUUCCAAUAAUUUUUCAGAAUUGUAUAUAUAUAUAUAUACAUGUAUUUCCCUCAGUCUUUAAGUUAAGCCCUUUAUCAAUAGCAACUCAAAAUUCACCCCAAUUUGAAUCAAAAUUAUGAAAACAAUAUUAAUUUUUUCCAAAUUUUUAAUUAUGAUUCGAGUAGGAACAAAUGAUGCAAUUUAAGUUUUCGUAAUCUUGUUUUUGUUCAGCAAUUAUAAAUUAGAAUUCAUUCCCCAAAUAGGCUACUUAAUUAAAUCUAUGCUCUGAACUCAACGAAUCAUUUAAAUAUUUAUAAUUACAGUAUUGGGAAUUACAUGACACGAUUUCGAUAAACGUGUAUACUUUUCAAUAUCUUUUCAAUAGAGUGAUAUAGUUUUUAGAUUGAUGUUUGUAGGAUUGUAUUCUGUAUAUGGUCAAAAACUACAAAUAAAGAUGAAACAUCUAAAAAUUCAAACAUCUAUUCAUCCCCACUGGGGGUAACUUACCGGCUGUGAUUGUUGGAACAAAGUCGGUUUACGAUUUUGUCAACUAAACCUUGUCAAUCAUGUCUAAUAACUGGUGGUAGAGUAUGAUUUGAAUGCAAUGAAUGCUUAUUACU